rnacentral:tRNA from 1 species
GGGUCAGCUCAGUGGUUAGAGCAUAGGUCUCGUAACCGAAAGGUUGCGGGAUCGAAUCCCGCUAGAGAGAAUCA